rnacentral:rRNA from 1 species
GACGAACGCUGGCGGCGUGCUUAACACAUGCAAGUCGAACGGUGAAGCCGGAGCUUGCUCUGGUGAAUUAGUGGCGAACGGGUGAGUAACACGUGAGUAACCUGCCCUUGACUCUGGGAUAACUGCUAGAAAUGGUAGCUAAUACCGGAUACGACCCUCGGAGGCAUCUCCAGGGGGUGGAAAGAAUUUCGGUCAAGGAUGGACUCGCGGCCUAGCAGCUAGUUGGUGAGGUAACGGCUCACCAAGGCGACGACGGGUAGCCGGCCUGAGAGGGUGACCGGCCACACUGGGACUGAGACACGGCCCAGACUCCUACGGGAGGCAGCAGUGGGGAAUAUUGCACAAUGGGCGCAAGCCUGAUGCAGCAACGCCGCGUGAGGGAUGACGGCCUUCGGGUUGUAAACCUCUUUUAGUAGGGAAGAAGCGAAAGUGACGGUACCUGCAGAAAAAGCACCGGCUAACUACGUGCCAGCAGCCGCAGUAA